rnacentral:rRNA from 1 species
CAUGGCUCAGGAUGAACGCUAGCGGCAGGCCUAAUACAUGCAAGUCGAGCGGCAAGUCGAGGAGUAAUCUGAGACCUAGAGCGGCGUACGGGUGCGUAACGCGUAUGCAACCUACCUCAUACAGGGGGAUAGCCCGGAGAAAUCUGGAUUAAUACCCCAUGGCACAGCACAAGGGCAUCUGCGAGCUGUUAAAGAUUCAUCGGUAUGAGAUGGGCAUGCGUCUGAUUAGCUAGUUGGCGGUGUAACGGACCACCAAGGCGACGAUCAGUAGGGGUUCUGAGAGGAAGGUCCCCCACACUGGCACUGAGAUACGGGCCAGACUCCUACGGGAGGCAGCAGUAGGGAAUAUUGGGCAAUGGACGAGAGUCUGACCCAGCCAUGCCGCGUGCAGGAAGACGGCGUUCUGCGUUGUAAACUGCUUUUAUCUGGGAAGAAAAAGUCCAUGCGUGGAAAAUUGCCGGUACCAGAUGAAUAAGCACCGGCUAACUCCGUGCCAGCAGCCGCGGUAAUACGGAGGGUGCAAGCGUUGUCCGGAUUUAUUGGGUUUAAAGGGUGCGUAGGCGGCUAUUUAAGUCAGCGGUGAAAGACAUCGGCUCAACCGAUGCAGUGCCAUUGAUACUGGAUAGCUUGAGUGUUGGAGGGGUACAUGGAAUUGAUGGUGUAGCGGUGAAAUGCAUAGAUACCAUCAGGAACACCGAUAGCGAAGGCAUUGUACUGGCCAACAACUGACGCUGAGGCACGAAAGCAUGGGUAGCGAACAGGAUUAGAUACCCUGGUAGUCCAUGCCGUAAACGAUGAUUACUCGCUGUUAUGCCGUAGGGUGUAGCGGCCAAGCGAAAGCGUUAA